CUGUUAGUAGUUACAGAUAUCCCUUGGUUUACCCUGGGGUUAGGGUUAACCCUAGGGUCAUCUGUGUUGGGACUUGUACACUGAGAAUCAAAGAUGUGACACAGAGUGACUCUGCUGAUUACAAGUUUAGGUUUACAACAAACAAAGGAGGGAAAUAUAGUGGUGUCCCUGGAGUGAAGUUAUCUGUGACAGAUCUCCAGGUGAAAGUGUUCCUUCCUCCUUACAGUCCUAACAGGGUACAGCUGGAAUGUCACAGUAUGUGUCAUCCUGCUGGUUAUGAUGGAUACAUCUGGUACAGGGAUGGAACUCAACGACAUCAAGGAAGGUUCGACUGGGUCAACAUUAACUCUGAAUACAGGUCUUCAUGUGCUGUUCAAGGAUCCGAACAUCUCCCCUCUCCAUCAGUGUACGCUCCAGAGACCCCCUCAGUGGGAUGGACUCCCCCUGGUGUAAUAAAGGAGGGCAGUUCAGUGAAUCUGACCUGCACCAGUGAGGCCAACCCAGUAGCAAAGUACACCUGGACCAAGGUUCCUACAGGUCAUUCCCCC